rnacentral:tRNA from 1 species
UUUUUUUUUUUUUUUCUUUUUGGUGGCACCUGCAGUAUAUGGAAGUUUCCGGGCCAGGGAUCAAAUCUGAGCUGAAGCUGCAGCCUAUGUCAUAGCUGCAGCAACGCCAGAUCCUUAACCCACAGUGCCAGGCUAGGGAUUAAACUGGCACCUCCAGAAAGAUAAGCCAGAUCAUUAACCCACUGGACCACAAUAGGAACUCCCAAGAUGUGUGCUUGAUUGCAUGUCUGCAAGAUCACAAUCAUGCUGGAGUUCCCGUUGUGGCACAGCAGAAACCAAUCAGACUAGGAACCAUGGGGUUUCGGGUUCAAUCCCUGGCCUUGCUCAAUGGGUUCGGGAUCCAGUGUGGCUGUGAGCUAUGGUGUAGGUCGAAGAUGCGGCUUGGAUCUGGCAUUGCUGUGGCUCUUGGUGUAGGCUGGUGGCUGUGGCUCUGAUUCGACUCCUAGCCUGGGAACCUCCAUAUGCCUCGGAAGGUGGCCCUGGAAAAGGCAAAAAGACAAAAAAGAAAAAUAAAUAAAUAAAAAAUAAAGUUUGCCAAUAUACAGAAUGCUAAUGUAAAAGACAGUUUGUAAUUGUUUAUUUCUUAGUUUUCACUAGAAAUUAAGGUUUUUAAAAAGUGAGAAUUCUGGAGUUCUCUUGGUGGUAUCAGUAGGUUAAGAAUCUGAUGUUGUCACCACUGUGGUGCAGGUCACACUUGUGGCAUGGGUUUAUAUCCUGGCCCAGGAACUUCUGCAUGCUGUGGGUGAGACCAAAAUAAUUUUUUUUUGAAAAUUCUAAUUAAUACAUACCAUUAAGAUUACUAAGCUAAGGAGUUCCCACUGUGGUGCAGUGGGAUCAGGAGCAUCUCUGCAGAGCCAGGACACAGAUGCAAUCCCUGGCCUAGCACAGUGGGUUAAAAGGAUCCUGAGUUGCUGCAGCUGUAGCAUAAGUUGCAGCCGUGGCUCAGAUCUGAUGCCUGGCCCAGAACACCUGGCUGCCAAGGGGCAGCCAAAACCAAAAAAACAAACAAACAAAAAACCCUACUAAGUUAAUAUGGACAGCAUCUUUGUGUGUAAGAAAAAAGAAGGUCUAAGAAAUAGAAAUGCAUUUUAUUAAGGGAAAAAAAUAAUUCUUUCUUAAAGUUAUUUACUUUUAAAUGGGAAAGAAAAUAAGGGACAAAUUAAUAAGAAGUAGAAAGUUGAAGGUUUGUGAGGAAAAAAGAAAGAAACUUUAGAAGGAAUCUUGUAUGUGGUCAGGACUAAAAUUAGAAUAAAGUUAAUCAAGUAAAUCAAUUUUAGUAUUGACGGCAAAACAGUACCAAAUCUGGAUUUGGUUUUCUCUCUCUUAAGAAGGCUGUUUUCUUAGAGUAUUCAUCUGCUUUGUAUAACAGAUUAUAAAUUUUCUUUGUGUUUUUAAGUAAUUUGUUAUACCUUUAGGCAUUUGCCUUUGAAACCUUUUCUUGUCACUUGGUUAAGUGAAAAAGUAUUGUUUCACGGUGACUUAUGCUAUUUGCCAAAGUAUUUUAAAGCCUUUUGAUAAUUUUGGUAAACCUCCCAAAGAUACUUGGCCUCUAGCUCACGCUGAGAUUUUCCAAAGGGCCAUGGGACACCUCAAGGGUUUAUCUCCUCUCCUUAUCAAAGAUAGAAAUAUUAAACCUAUUAGGCUCAUUUUGUUUGUUAAAUUACACAGGAAGCAUUUCAAAUGAGUGGUGAUAAACAUUCCUAGGUUAUAUUGAAGGGGAAAAUGUUAUUAAUAUAGAUAGUUUGGAAAUUAUUGGAAUUCCUAAAGAUCUGGUGUGCCUUGGUAAAAUGUUAUCAGUUGUAACUCUAUCAUCUUUAAAUGUCAUAUGUCCCGGUAGCAAACAAGUUUGUCAGUUGGAUUGUCAUCAGAUCUUUAAGCAUGCCUUUUGAAAUCUUUGUCACUCAUAACAGUUGCUGUUUCUCUGAUGCCUUUGCAAAAAUGCGUCUUCUUUGAGAAGAUGUGUAGAAAAAGCUUUUGACAAGCGCAGGUUUCUGAUAAAUUUCAGAUCAUGCCCCUGAACUGGGUAAGAAAUGCGAAAAUGCUAAUGGAAUCCUCAUGGUUUCAUAAGUGUUAAUAAGAGAUCAAGAUGGUUACAAAGGACUGAGUGGACUAACAGCUAUGUGUUAGAACUUUUAUGAUUUUUCUUUUCUGAAAUAUUACUGGCUUUGAAUGUUUUCCAGAUAGAAGGAAACCUUUCCCCUUAAGCUAAUUAUGACCUCCAGCAAUUUGGUAAAAUUACAUCUUUAUAGGCAGAAUUGAAACAUUUAUCUUUUCUCUAAUGAUUCCUUCAAAAUUAUAAACCACCCUUAGGAUACUAGCACCUUAUCAGGUGCGCAAGGGUGGCCACCUCCUGACAGGUGCAAAAGUCUAAAGAUACUUUGAGAGAAAUUCACCCAAAUCUAUAGAUAUCACAGGUGGGGUCGGAUGCCAAGCCUUUUAAAAAUUUAACCUGAGAUUCCUUAUCAAAAGUUCCAGCAAAGCCGUUUCUUUAAAAAGACCCUGGAUAACUAGUUGCACUUAUGUCAAUAGUAGGUCCAAGUUUAUUGACAUCAGACUUAUUUUUUUGCAAACAAAUUAGUUUUAAUUUGGCUGUUGGAUAGAAACCAGGGUAAUCUUAGAAAGAAAACUUAUGUUUCAGUGGCUGUUAAAUUCCAGUGCUGUUAAAUGGGGUGCGUAUUUCCUGCCUAAGACGGACUUUCCAGAUGAUCGUCCCUGUUAUGUUACAUUACUGUAACAUUUAGUUGACUUGUUAAAAGGACACCCUCAGUUUGUUUCUGAAGCUUAUCAUAGCAGUCUAUCUUUGGAGGAAGAUCAGAUGCCCCAUAACCUGUAACCGGGAGAUUCUGCAUAUUGGAAAAAGUAUGUGGAUGACCACCUCCAACCUAGGUGGAAGGAUCCUCAUCAGGGGCUCAAUUACUCAUGCGCAGAAAAACGGAAGGAAAUUGACUUUUAUUUAUUUUCUAUGUUUUUGCCUUUUCUAGGGCCACCUCCUGCGGCCUAUGGAGGUUCCCAGGCUGGGGGUCGAAUCAGAGCUGUAGCUGCCGGCCUGCGCCAGAGCCACAGCAACUCGGGAUCCGAGCCGCGUUUGCAACCUACACCACAGCUCACGGCAACGCCUGCUCCUUAACCCACUAAGCAAGGCCAGGGAUCGAACCUGAAGCCUCAUGGUUCCUAAUCGGAUUCAGUAGCCGCUGCACCACGACGGGAACUCCAGGAAAUUGAUUUUAGAUUCAUAUCUUCUACCUAAAAAGGCUCUCUGCACUGGACUGAUGUGUAGAGAGAAUGGCUCACCUAAACUCACCUUAAAACAACACUCAGAGAGGAGAAGCUACACAAUAAUUUUGUGGACUUUUGCAUAAAUCAGGGUUUUUCUAUCAUGUGCAGAAAUUCUAUGCAGAGUCUUAAAAUUAAUUCUGUUGUUGAUCUUUUGAUCAAUUACCUACAUCCAGGACUUCUGGGCUACCUUGGUGGAUUUCUCCUCUGCAGGGCUCUUUAUGGAUGGCCCUUAGGAAAUUUAUUCUAGAAGAAAGAAGUUACAGUUUUGUUCAAGGAACUAUUGAUAUUAGAUGGGACCCCCUCACUUGGCCAGUCAGUGGGACUUGCUCUGACCAUGGCUAUAAAUAUGAAUUUUCUUUUAAAGUUACCCAAGCUCAAUCAGAACAACAAGCUAAAUUUUAGUCAAUGAAUAUGUCUUCCCAAUUAUUAGGAAGGACUCUCCUUCAGUUAUGGGAGGGGUUUAUUUGACUAACCCCAGAUUAUGGUCAUUUAUAUUUAAAAGCCCCCUUACAUUGAGAAUAGUUAAAUGUACUAAGAAUGAUCAGCCUAAUGACACUAGGAAAUGAGUCUGGGUGUCUUACGAAUAAUACCAAUAUGUCAUUUACUUUUAAGAUGGCCAUUGGUACAGAACAGACUAGAUCAGAUGAGCUGGGGAUAUACUGGGUGGCAACAAAUGGAAACUCUUGGCUUAAAUAUUUGCUUAUGACCCUAUGAAUGUUGGCUUGUCUUUUAUUUCUAAAGGUGUAACAGCCUCUGAUAAAAAUGGUGACUCAGCAAUUUGAAACGAUUGCCCAGAUAAACAGUUCUUUAUGAACUAAUGAGUGUAAUAGUAUAACUCUAGAUAUGGGAAGAAACAGCAAGGGGGAAUUUUACCUGGAUCAUAACAGACCAGUAAGACAGGUGGCCCAGAUACCUUUGGCUGCUAUUAGCAGAGCAUAGUCCGGGAAAGCAUCCUGAGUGGCUACCAAUGAAAUCCUGGCCUGACCCAGGAAAAAGCCAUCUUAGCACCCUGGGAUACCAUGGUCCAGAAUUGCCUCCUAAAUCGAGGUUGAAUUUAUAACCACGAGGGGGCGCUGUAGCUAAAGAAUAUCCCCGGCCCUCUGGUUCUACAAACAGUCAAGUCACUAGUAGUCACUGAUGCGCAACACACCCUGCAGAGAGUUCAGGAAAGCGAUGGAAAACGAGACACUCUGGGAUCUGGGAAAACUGGUAGAACGGGACUUCAGAUAAUUAGAUAUUUUCAGGAGAAAAUUUCAUGAAUCCACAUUUCUUUCAUCUUUCCAUACCUAGCAAAGCACUAAAGUCAUUAACUGAGAUAUCUGCUCCUCCUCGUGACGCGCAGCGACCUUCUCCCGAGAUGCGUGCUUGAUUGUGCUUCUCCACAAUCACAUAUAGCUGAUAAGCCUGCUUCUGACUCUCGGGAGCAGUUCCUGGAGCUAUCUGAGAGGCAGUCUCCUGGGCUGUGGACAGUCCUCAGUAAGUCCCCAGACUGUGGAUUCUCAUCGUAGAGACCAAGAAGAAAUGCACCUUUGCUGAGGGGACACCCGUCUUUGCUCUGGUGUCCCCUCCUGAGCCUGCCUCUGGUUUCCUUUCUGUUUGCUCCCUUAUCUCCUCCAUCAACACCUGGGAGUCACUUGGGACUUGAUGUAUAGGAAAGUUUUUGGGGAAGAGGGGGUGGUUUCAGAGGAGAGCUUUGUCUGUCAGAAGGUGUAGAGCAGCCCUCAGUCACCUGGAGCUAACGGAGACCUGAAACCUCUGUGUGGUCUGGUUUGUAGCAGGCAGGCUUAUGUGAUUUGCCUAGUCAGGAUGAAAGGAGAAGUUACAAGUUAAGGGUUAAGGCUUAUUUUGGCUGGUGGGUGGGGGGGAGGGUACACCAACCAGUCUGCUUUCUCUUUCCUUCAGGCCAAUACCAUCAUGUACCCUUGGGUAACCGCCCUGGUCCUCAUACUCCUUCUGACAGGUAAGGAAAUAGGUGGGUUGUGUUUUAGAAGUCCAGGGGAUCUGGGAGCGGGGUGGGGGGGGUGAGAGGGUGUGUGGAUGUGGUGGAGGAAGAUAGAUAUUCUUGGGCUUUGUUUGUUGCAAGGGAGUGGGGUCAACUAGUGAGCAAAGAACCAGGCUGAAACCUUAAGCCAAAGAAACGGCAUAAAUGCUAAGAAUUUCAAAAUCCAUGGGUAGGUGAAGAAGGCAUGUUGCAGCACCGUAUGUUGUGUGUUGCUAUUUGUGCUUAAACCAGAAAAGGUAUGAGUUGGGAGUUCUCUGAUGGUCUAAUGGUUAGGACUCAUUGCCUUCAUCACUGUGGCCCAGGUUCAGCCUCUGGUCUGGAAACUGAGCUGCAUCAAGCUGUUGAAAGCCGUGGCCAAAAAACCCCCCAAAGCAAAAAAGGGAUGGGUAGAU